rfam:Geosporobacter ferrireducens strain IRF9, complete genome.
GCUAGUGUGGCUCAACGGUAGAGCAGCUGACUUGUAAUCAGCAGGUUGGGGGUUCGAUUCCCUUCACUAGCU